GCUUACGGCCAUACCACAUUGGGCACGCCCGAUCUCGUCUGAUCUCGGAAGUGAAGCAGGGUCGGGCCUGGUUAGUACUUGGAUGGGUGACCGCCUGGGAAUACCAGGUGCUGUAAGCA
rnacentral:rRNA from 10 species